GACGAACGCUGGCGGCGGGCUUAACACAUGCAAGUCGAACGGAAAGGCCCUGCUUUUGUGGGGUGCUCGAGUGGCGAACGGGUGUGUAACACGUGAGUAACCUGCCCUUGACUUUGUGAUAACUUCAGGAAACUGGGGCUAAUACCGGAUAGGAGCUCCUGCUGCAUGGUGGGGGUUGGAAAGUUUAGGCUGUAGGGGAUGGACUCGCGGCUUAUCAGCUUGUUGGUGGGGUAGUGGCUUACCAAGGCAUUGACGGGUAGCCCGCCUGAGAGGGUGACCGGCCACAAUGGUACUGAGAGACGGACCAGACUCCUACGGGAGGCAGCAGUGGGGAACAUUGCACAAUGGGCGGAAGCCUGAUGCAGCAACGCCGCGUGCGGGAUGACGGCCUUCGGGUUGUAAACCGCUUUCGCCUGUGACGAAGCGUGAGUGACGGUAAUGGGUAAAGAAGCACCGGCUAACUACGUG
rnacentral:rRNA from 1 species